rnacentral:lncRNA from 1 species
CUCUCGCGUUGUGUUUUUCUUUGUAAUACUGAGCAAAUCAUAUAAAAACGGAAAUUACAUUUAGCGAUUAAAUUCAAUUAAAGUCUCUCAUGAAAUAAAAUAAAAUUCAACUUUGCACUAAAACGUGUAAUUGUUAAUGUUCAUCGCUAACAUCACUGGUGAAUCCACUUCUGUAUCGUCUCGCGGGCUUUUAGACUAGCUUUUCGUUUCGGUCUGUUCUCCAUAUGUUCCUGUUCAUCAAUUGGAAAGUUAGAAUUGUUUGUCAUCGUUUGUGUUACUUCCAACGGAUAUAAUUUUGCGAUCGGUCUUGUAGUUUCUCCUGUGCUGGUCCUUAUUCGUGCUGAUCUUACAAGUCCAUCAUUACCUCUGGCUAGUUCGGUUACGAUCCCAAUUUUCCAGUUUAUCCUCGGACAUUCGUUGUGAAUUUGUACGAUGUCUCCUGUAUUUAUUAAUUGUUCAUUUUUUCCGAUUGUCCUAUGAAAUUCACGUAAAGACGUAAGGUAUUCGGAUUUCCAUCUUUUCCAGAAAUGUUGAAUCAAUUGCGUUUGUCUGUAUACACUUUUAUUAAGAUCUUUAUGUCCCAUGUAAGUCGGGUCUAGGAUAUUCUCAAUUUCUGAUUGCGGGUACGGUAAUGUUGAAAUGCGCCUUCCGUAUAGUAGAUGAGACGGAGUUAAAGCUUCACAGUCUUUGAUAUCGGACGAUGGAUAUGUUAGCGGUCUGUCAUUUAAGAUAGUUUCUAUUUCCGUAACAACUGUUUGAAGUGUUUCCAUGUUUACUUGGGAUCGUCCAAGCACUUUCUUCAAACUUGUCUUCGUCAGAGCAAUCAAGCGCUCCCAGAAUCCACCAUACCAAGGUGCACGUUUCGGUAUAAAUCUCCACUCUACACCGUGUGUUGAUAAAGUAUCUUUUACUAUAUCCGAUUCACACAAUCUUUUUAUUUCUGCAGAUCCUGCAAUGAAUGUAGUUGCAUUGUCAGAUACUAGAAUUUUAGGCAAAGAUUUACGGCUAACAAAGCGUCGAAAUGCCUGAAUAAAUGAAUGUUCGCUCAAGUUUGGAACUACUUCGAGGUGAACUGCUCUUGUCGAUGCGCAUGUAAAUAAACAUAUAUACGCUUUCCUUAAAGUUCCUUCUGAGUUUUUUAUGUAUAAAGCACCUGUAUAAUCGACUCCUGUGACGGUAAAUGGCGAAGCUUCCUGUACUCUUAUUUUCGGUAGGGGUGGCGGAUCCGGUUUGUUGUAAGAUUUUCCCAUAACUUUGCGGCAAGUUACACAUUUGUUUAAUAACUUCUUAACAAAUUGUCGAAGUGUCGGUACCCAAUACGAUUGUCGUACAUAAGUAAGCGUAGCAUUUAGUCCAGAAUGGAGUGAACGUUCGUGUGCGUCUAUCACUAUCAGUUUGGUAAGUGGAUGAUUUGCAGGUAUAAGAUAUGGAAAUUUAGUAUUCUCUGAAAUCGGUGCAUUGUGAAUCCUUCCGUUGCAUCUCACAAGGCCAUCGUCAUCUAUGAAGAGUCCUAAUUGUCUUAUUCUUGGAUAUUUCAUUGUGUUUUUAUUUCGUGUGUCCUGUAAACUUUUUAUUUCGGCGGAAUAUGAAGAUUUUUGGCAAUCUAAUAUCCAUGAACGCACCGCGGUAUUAAUAUCAUUUGUCGUCAAGACUCCACUUUUUCUCAGAUGUUUGGUAAAUCGGCAAUUAGAUAUGAACCGAUGAACGUAAGCGGUUACUCGAAUCAAUUUCCUGAAAGUCCCAUAUUUCGAAAUGUCUAUAAUGUUACUAAUACCAUAGUAAUCAGUAUGAACGUCAUUGUUUAGAAAUUCCUCGUCGUCGUUUUCUCCUGUAAUUGUCAAUACUGUUUUACUUGUAGGAGUUAUUUCUGGCCAUUUUGUCCGA